AAAAAGCUGUACGGCUAUGACGGAGAGGAGCUGCAUCUGGUGGCUUCCAGUUUCCUGGAACUAUGUGACAAAACGAUAGAGUAUCCAGCAUCCAAGCGCUACUACAAUGGAGAGGCCUUCAAAGAUAUGACUGAGGAGGACUGGAAAAAAGUUAAGAUGAGUGAUGUGGGGAGGAAACUGCAGGAAGAACAUAAAAAGCUGGUAAAUGAAACCCAGUCAGCGUUCGUAAGCCUAAUAUCAUAGAUUCUGGUAUUUGGCCAAAAGAGAGCUUCACAAUUCUUGGCUUCACCUGUGGUAGAAAAAUGACUGAAGUUAUGCAACACUCUCUAAAAUUAAAGCUAUGCAACGCUUUAACAUGAAUGGCGAAGGAGUG